UAAAUUAAGUUCACAUUUCAUUUACCAAAUUACCCCUUCCCUUCCUCUGUCUUCUUGGCUAUGUCCACUUCUUCCUCUUCACAUUUCUUUACACAUCGAUCAACACCCUUCACAUCCCCUUUCAUUUUCAUAGAUCAUAGCUCCGAUACCUUCCAUCUUCAACCGUAAGUAUCUCCGGUGAUCAUAUCACCAUCUUCUACUUCCCUUAUGUAAUCCAUGAAAGAAUGCUAUUAAACCAUGGUAGUGAAGACAAGCCGAGGAUGGGGAUUACAGGAAACACUGCAGGGUACGUUUUUCAGAGGUAGUGACAGUGGAGGUGGCUGAGUGAAUGAAGCUCGGUGGUUCACAGUCUUUGAGCCAUCUUUGAAUGGUUGAAGUGAAGGCAGAAGCAAAAGAGAGAGUUUUUUUUACCCUCCACGGUUAAAAAGGUGACUAAGUGAGAGCUGGUGCAUCUGAUGAAGCAGGCUAGAGAGGGGAGAAAAGAGCCAUUUUUAAAUUUUCAACAAAGACUUGAAAGGGACAUUUUCAUUAAAAAAAACAAGCUUUCUAUAAUAACACCAAGUGUGUGGUCCA